UAGGGGAAUCUUCGGCAAUGGACGAAAGUCUGACCGAGCAACGCCGCGUGAGUGAAGAAGGUUUUCGGAUCGUAAAACUCUGUUGUUAGAGAAGAACAAGGGUGAGAGUAACUGUUCACCCCUUGGCGGUAUCUAACCAGAAAGCCACGACUAACUAUGUGUCAG
rnacentral:rRNA from 1 species